AAAGGAAUUGACGGGGGCCCGCACAAGCGGUGGAGCAUGUGGUUUAAUUCGACGCAACGCGAAGAACCUUACCGGGACUUGACAUUGUCUUGCCCAUUUAAGAAAUUAGAUUUUCUUCCCUUCGGGGAAGACGAGAUAACAGGUGGUGCAUGGUUGUCGUCAGCUCGUGUCGUGAGAUGUUGGGUUAAGUCCCACAACGAGCGCAACCCUUGUCCUUAGUUGCCAGUUUGUUUACAAACGCACUCUAAGGAGACUGCCGCAGAUAAUGCGGAGGAAGGUGGGGAUGACGUCAAAUCAUCAUGCCCCUUACGUCCCGGGCUACACACGUGCUACAAUGGCCUGUACAGAGGGUUGCGAAAGAGCAAUCUCUAGCCAAUCCCUUAAAACAGGCCCAAGUUCGGAUUGGAGGCUGCAACUCGCCUCCAUGAAGUUGGAAUCGCUAGUAAUCGCGGAUCAGCAUGCCGCGGUGAAUACGUUCCCGGGCCUUGUACACACCGCCCGUCACACCACGAAAGUUGGCGAUACCUGAAGUUACUAGGCUAACCCGGCACUCAACUAAGUAUAUUAAGCCUUAUUUUAAGCAGAUAAGCUAGUGUAUUUAGUUGAGUGCCAGGAGGCAGGUACCGAAGGUAUGGCUG
rnacentral:rRNA from 2 species